GAUGAAGAACGCAGUGAAAUGCGAUAAGUAAUGUGAAUUGCAGAAUUCAGUGAAUCAUCGAAUCUUGAACGCACAUUGCGCCCGCCAGUAUUCUGGCGGGCAUGCCUGUUCGAGCGUCAUUUCAACCAUCAAGCCCCAGGCUUGUGUUGGAGCCCUGCGGCUGCCGCAGCCUCCCAAAACCAGUGGCGGGCUCGCUAUCACACCGAGUGCAGUAGUUUACUCUUCGCUCAGGGCGUGUGGCGGGUGCUAGCCGUAAAACCCCCAACUUCUCAAGGUUGACCUCGGAUCAGGUAGGAAUACCCGCUGAACUUAAGCAUAUCAAUAAGCGGAGGA
rnacentral:misc_RNA from 1 species